UACACUAAAACACAAGCUGUUACACUAUAACACAGGCUGUUACUCUGUGUUAUCUAAAUGAGACAAACCUUCAUCAGGGAACUCAAUAAGUAGAGAAAUGACUCUAGAAAAGUGCCCCAUGGCAUCCCCCAAAGAGCUAAGUUUAGCAUGGUAUAGAGCAAUGGUUCUCAAAUAUUAAUGAGCUUUAGAAUUAUUGGAAAAAACUUGCUUAAAAUGCAUAUAUCUGAGCUUCAUUGCCCAGAGAUUUAGAAUUAGUAGAUCU
rnacentral:lncRNA from 1 species